UACGUAGGGGGCAAGCGUUGUCCGGAAUCAUUGGGCGUAAAGAGCGUGUAGGCGGCCAGAAAAGUCCGCUGUGAAAACUCGAGGCUCAACUUCGAGCUGUCGGUGGAAACUUUCUGGCUGGAGUCCGGAAGAGGAGAAUGGAAUUCCUGGUGUAGCGGUGAAAUGCGCAGAUAUCAGGAAGAACACCCGUGGCGAAGGCGGUUCUCUGGGACGGUACUGACGCUGAGGAGCGAAAGCGUGGGGAGCGAACAGG
rnacentral:rRNA from 1 species